AAUGUUGAAUCAGUCAACACUUACCUCAGCCUUCCAAGCUGAUGACGCGGGUUCGAUUCCCGUCAUUC
rnacentral:tRNA from 1 species